UGGUCCUAGCCUUGAAAUCUGUUUUUACUUAAUAUACACAUGCAAGUUUCCGCACCCCUGUGAAAACGCCCUUUAAUCCCCAAUAGGGAAAAGGAGCUGGUAUCAGGCACGAAAUUUCGCCCAAAACACCUAGCUAUGCCACACCCACAAGGGAAUUCAGCAGUGAUUAACAUUGAAUAUGAGCGACAGCUCGACCCAGUUAAAGUAAAAUAGAGCCGGCUAAUCUGGUGCCAGCCGCCGCGGUUACACCAUGUGGCUCAAAUUGAUUUUUAUCGGCGUAAAGCGUGAUUAAAGCAUAAUAAAUUAGAGUUAAAUUAUUACUAAGCCGUGACACGCUUGUGAUUAAGAAAUCCAAAAACGAAAGUUACUCCAAUUAAUUCAACUUGAAUUCACGACAUCUGGGAAACAAACUGGGAUUAGAUACCCCACUAUGCCCAGACAUAAACUUUAAACUACACCAUUAAUCGCCCGGGAACUACGAGCAAAGCUUAAAACCCAAAGGACUUGACGGUACCCCAUAUCCCCCUAGAGGAGCCUGUCCUAUAAUCGAUAACCCCCGUUUAACCUCACCACUUCUAGCCCAUCAGCCUGUAUACCUCCGUCGUAAGCUUACCCCGUGAGCGAUAUUUAGUGAGCCUAAUGCCCGUACGCCAACACGUCAGGUCAAGGUGCAGCAAAUGUAGUGGAAAGAGAUGGGCUACACUUUCUAAUAUAGAAAAAUACGAAAGACUACCAAUGAAAGUCAGUCUAAAGGUGGAUUUAGUAGUAAAAAGAAACUAGAGAGUUCUUUUUAACCUGGCACUGGGGUGUGUACACACCGCCCGUCACCCUCUUCAAAGCCAAAUAAUAGUAAGUAACAAACUUUAGCAUUAUAGAAGAGGCAAGUCGUAACAUGGUAAGUAUACCGGAAGGUGUGCUUGGAAA
rnacentral:ncRNA from 1 species